rnacentral:ribozyme from 1 species
GUUGCCUCCACCACCGUAGGGGUAGGAUCCGAGACUCCUAUCGAGGUUACACAGGCUCUCCUACCCAUCACCUAUUCCGUCACGUCCUCGUCGUACAGAGUGGCCACUUUCCCCACGACAUAUCCGGGCGGAUGGUGGAGCAAGGCUAAACAGGAGGGG